AGACAUAGACAUACCCCUUUGAAGUAGAGAAACCAUAGUUAUCCUCUCUAUUCUGCUACCAUCGCCCAUAUACUAGAAUUGCUCUACUCUCUAUUCCCAUAUUAUCACUCACUGUUAUCUUACCUUUAAUAUUGUUCUUAUUCGAUUCUACCAUCUUUCCUAUUCACACCUAUUUACUUAUCUUGGUUAAGUUAGAGCGUAGAUCAGUUCUCCUGUUUCCCUGUGGAUACGAUAAAACCUUUAACCGGGUAAAAGCUUCAACGGUAUCCGUGCGCUUGCGGAUUAUCUGUGUGCGUAUAAAUACCAUAGUACACUCUAGUGCCAUGCUGGGGAUGACAACCUAGUAUUCAAGUGGUGUUAGCAAGUGUCAACAAGCAUUUUUGGCACCGUUGCCGGGGAAACGGUUGCUGAGUUGACUACGAACUAGUUUAAUCAUUUUAUAAAAAAAAUAAUAUAUAACAAAAAAAAUAUAUUUUCCUUUUAUCCUUUGCCUCAUCUCUGCUAUUCUUUCUUCUUAUCUAACCCUUGAUCUCUGGUCUAUUCAAACAUGUCUAUCUAUGAAUUUCAUAGACCUAUGGGCACACAUCUCGAACCACCAAAAUCUUCAAAGCCUAUCAUAGCAUCUAGUUUUGAGAUAGACCCCGAAUACAUAGAAUUUAUUCAAAAACAACCUUUCUCAGGAGAAGGUGAGGAAAACUCAUACACACACCUAAGAGAGUUUUAUCGAGUCUGUGACCUCCUUCGCAUAGAAGGCAUGUCCGAUGAGACCCUUAAAUGGAAGCUCUUUCCGUUCACUUUAACGGGAAAAGCUAGACUUUGGUAUAAACUCAAAGUAGGGAGUGUUCAUGGAGAUUGGAAGGAGUUAUAUAGUAGUUUUCUUUCUAAAUAUUUUCCAAUCUCCAAAGUGGUGGGAACUUUGGCGUGAGAUUCUUUCUUUUAGACAACUGGAAGAAGAAUCUCUUGGCAAAUCAUGGGACCGCUUUAUUAACCUUACUCUCAUUGGCCCAAAACUUUCUAUUCCAGAAGAAGUUCUUCUAAUUCACUUUUUUGAGGGCCUUAGUAGGAAAAAUAAGCAAACCCUUCAUGCGGCCUCUGGAGGAUCUUUCCACCACCUAUCCGCUAGUGAAGCUUGGAAUUUGAUUGAUUUAAUGAGCGGAAAGUCUCCUAGCUUUUAUAUCCCUGAGAAAGAGAAAGAACCAGUUCCUAGACAAGAAGAAGAAGUUUCGAGCCAGAUCACAACCACUUCAAUCCCAAACUUUAGCUAUCGAUCCUAAACCAUCAAUACCCCAAAAUUCUCCAAGGGAGGAAGGAAUUCCGACCUUAAAUCUUUUAGAUGCUGAUGGUUUAGACUUCUGGUUCUAUAAGAGACCUUCAAGCAGGGAUAAUUCAAAUCAUUGCAAUAAUGUUUCUCUUAGAGAAUGUCCUGGUUCCUAUCAUGAAGAAGUCGAGGAUGACAUAUCAAGUGAAGGAGAGCUAAGCCAUAUAGACAAUUCUAUCUACUCCCCUUCCAUGUUCACAAGUUCUAAAUCCAUCCUUGACCUUAGAGAUCCCUCUUAUCCCUCUUCUUUUCAGUCUCAUGAUGAUCCUAGCAAUUCACGAAGACGACCAAACCAUAGGAGUCAUGAAGACCAUAAGGAUGGCAUGUCAAGUAAUGCCAUAGAAGGAGAGCUAAGCCAUAUAGAAAAUUCUAACACCUCCCCUAUUUUGAUCACAAGUUCUAAAUGGCUAGAAUGUGUAAAAUGGAUGGAUAAGGAAGAAGCCUUAAUGGGUUCUGACUUUGGCUCAAUUUCAAAUGGUGAGUUCUUGACUCCCUUUGAAGAUGAGAUUCAUCCAACUACAGAAGAGGACAUAGGUGAGACCAAUCCAGGAGAAACUCCGAACAUUCAGAUUGGAGACGAAGAUAACAUUAAUGAGCAUGGAAUUUAUUUCAUAGCCACUUCGUUUACUCCAUGCUCAUAUGCAACAUCUUCCCAAUCUAUUGGUCUCUCCGACAUCACCACACUUGAGAUCUCCAACCCCCUCUUCAUUUCUAUUUAUAAAAACUUUAAAAGGGCGGUUGUCGAUGCAUAUGUCUAUAAUAAAUGCUGUAGAUCUCGUUGAGUUGAUCUAGAUAUAGGUUGGCGUCGGAGGGGAAACCACUUCGCCAACAUAAACUGAUGGCUUCCCAAGGACAAGCUUAGUGUCUUAAAAUAAGCAUUGAUCAGAUCGUAACAUGAGCUUUUAAUUAUUUGCAACAUUACCUUGUGUAUUGAGCAUAUAAGGAUAAUUGUAAAAAAAUAUAUUCCUUCGGGUAUUCUUGUCACAAACCUUUCUAGGAUUGGAGCAAGAAGAUCGGAUGAAUGACAAGCACAAGGUAUGUCCAACCAAUCAUCAUACAACACUGAAUUAAAUUCAUCCAAACUUGAAUUUUGCAAAAUUCAAGCUUGGGGGAGUACUUUACAUAAAAACAUCCUUUGCCAUGUUGCUAUGCUGGUUGUCCCUACCUUUGAGACAUGCUCAAUUUGUUAAAUACUAAUCACACUACUUCAUCUCCACUUGAGUAGAUCUCUAUAAAUGCUGUCAUGCUACCUUUGUCUAUUUACUAGCAAGUGUUGGUUUGGAAGUACUCGCCAUACUUCCAUUGGCAUUUAAAUUAAGCAUGGUGCUUAGGUUGAAUAGCCUUCCUUAAUCUGAUUAGACAUGGAGUCUAGUUUGGUUAUUGAACUAAAAAAACUGCUUGAGUAGAUAUUGGUAUAUUUUGUCGGACUAACCCCUGCAGAAAAACUUUCGAUAUCGAUUUGGGAAGUCCUGAGAUAAACUCACAUCAGAGACGAAGAAAGUGACACAUGAAGUUUAACAAUUAGCACAAGAAGGACAUAGCUCAUUCAUCAUAGAGAGAUGAUCCAUGGAGGGUGCCACAAACACGAUGCACAACCGCUAAGAAAGGAAAGCUUCCACAAGAUGAUACUGUACCAUCACUCUUCAAGCAAGGUAACAUCUUAAGGUACUUGACUAUCACUUUUAUAAGCUUCUCCUUGGUUCUGGCGUUCAUAUAAAUAAAAGAGACAAACGUGUAUGAUUUACAACUCUAGAUUAACCAACCCAACUGAUUCAACAUGUUUAGUCCUUUAAUCCUUGUUCUUAGUACUACCUCCAUGAUCCCACACUCGUAAUCAUAUGAGCUAAAAUGUUACACAUUCUAUCAUUGAGAGAUAUAAAGAAAAAGACAUAUACAUAAAUAGAUUAUCUUUCCAUAAGGUUGAGCGAUCUGAUCUGACAAAUGUUAUAAGUGCUACACUCAUGAACUUAUCAUCCAUCAACUUUGUCUUGCUCACUAUGCUUAAGGUUAGAGAAGAAAAAAUACACUUUUGGUUCUUUUGGUGUUUUCCACCAACAGGGCCCAUGCACUUGAUCUCUGCCUUGUCUCUAUGAGCAGGUACACUACAGCGCACUUCGAACUGCUGGGCAAACGAAGGACAUGGGUGACACCGUAUUAAAAGGUGCAGACGUCAAGGUCCGCACCUGAAUCAAAUGACGCACCUGAAGAAUGAACACGGUGAGAAGUCUUGUCAAGAAGACUUAAAACAUUGAACCCUCGCCGAAAGAUAAGAUUGGUAGUUAUCCAUAUUUAUCCUUUCUGUAUUCUCUUUUCCCUUUAAUUAUUUACUUGCCUUAAAUAGAUUAUUAGUUAAUCAUGCUAUCUUGAAAAGAAAAUAAAAAUGUUAAAAAAAAUACUAAGCCCCAUGUGAGUAUACGAGUGGCAUAAAACCCAUAAGUACCUUCACUGUGGUGGCAUAAAAAUAAAAUAAAUAUUUCUUUUUUACUUUAUAAAAUAAAAAUAUAAAAACAGGGAGUAAUAUUUAUUGAGGAAGCUCAACGUGAUGAAGGCUAGAUAUUUAUGCUAACAUUUAAUUAGUUCCACAAGCUUUGUUGUCUAUUUGAGCUCCACAGAAUUUAAGAAUCAAGAAGACUAGCAGAUGGAGGACAUUCUAAUCGCUGUCAGAAUGCUGCUGACUUUCAAAUACACCUCUGCCACCUGCUAGCUACAUCAAGAGAAAUUACGUCAAAAUUCAUUUUGGGGGAGAGCACCCCUAUUUAUCUCGCUAAGUAUUUCUACCUAUCUUUAUACUUAUAUUAUAUUAGAAUAUUAAAAUACAUAAACUAUGAAAAACCAAAUAAAGAUUUUAUGCUUAUAUAUAUAUAUAUCUUUUCUUAGUUUGCUAAAUAAAUAAAUAAAUAAAUAAAUAAAUAAAGUUUGCUAUGAAUCUUAAUAAUAAAACUCUAGCAUGGAUAUGAUGAAUAGUUGCUCUGCCUAAUUUGCAAAUUUGAAGUUCUCUCUCAAGUUUAGACAUAACUGUUAUAAUUUAAAGCUUGCUCUAGAUCUAAACUUGUGGGAUGAAAACUUGAUCUGAAAUCUAAGUUGUUAACGGAUAAGAUAUGGGAAGGUUGAGCUGUUGUUUAUCUGUUCCUAGAGAUGCUAGAAUUCUGGAGAAUUUUAUCUUUGAAAAUCUUUAAAAUGUUGCAUGAUGAGUUCCUGUAUGAUGAAAGUUUAAAUUCCUACCACAGCCAUAUAUACAUGCUUGCUAGACUUUGAGCCACACAUUUAUUAUUUACUGCUUAUGAGCAUUGAGUGUGGUCAAGCUGUGUAGACCCUUAGGUGCUUGUCAUGUGGUUAAAUCAAGAUUCACUUGCACGUUCACUCAUAUAUGCUACUUCUACUCUGGAAGUACCAUCCACAUAUAUCCAUCCAUUUCCAUCUCCAGAAUCACCAAAAAAUAUUCUACUCCUAAUUCGGGAGAGAAUAGCCAAAAACAUCUGUGUUUUUCCCUUGUGAAAUAAAUGCUCAAGUUAUCUUGCUACUACCACUUGCUAUAUUAUCUCAAGAGAUGAGUGCUCUGAAAAAAAAAGAAAAAAAAGAAAAGAAAAAAAUCAUAAUAAUAAAUAAACGAGGAAAUAAAAAGGGGCAAGUGCCCGAAACCUCGGAAGAAAAGAAAAAGAGUGAGACGAGAGGUAAAAAUGGACAAGUGUCCGACAGUAGAAUUAGGGGUACAGGAUACCCAUCUGAGAGAAAAGAAAAAGAAAAGCAUCUCAUUCUCCUCAUAAAGUUUCAAAAAAGCAAGGAAGGUAUGUAUCCCCUCAAAAGAGCAAAAGUAGAAUUAGACUUUCACCAUUGUUAUCACCAUCAUCACCAUACACUAUUCAUUCGCCACACAUGCACAUCUUGAUUUGGCUUAUUGAUUUGUUUCUUUGGAUCCAUGGUUUGACUAUACAAUAAAUGUCUUGUAAGUAUGUAUACUUUAUCUCCCACCUAUGAGCUCCAGAUAUUAAAACCUUAUUAGAGUAGGGUGAGAGAGAAGGCAAUGUCACUAUGCCUUAUACCACAAAUACCACAUAUUUUGAGAGAAGGCAUAUACCAUCACUGCCUUGGUAAGGAUCCAGAAAUACCACAAAAGAGAGAUAUGAGAGAGUCAUACAAAGGAAUCUCUAAGUUUUAUUUGAAAAUCUGAAAAAAACUCCAGAGCUAUAGCUGAUCAAGAAUAAGAGACAUGGCACUUGACGGGACUGUUCUAUCUUUUAACUACUCAAGACAGAAGUGACGGUUACAAGUCCCAUGGUGAAAGGUAAAGUAAGUAAGUUUUAGUUCUUGACAGUUUACUCUAACUCAGAGAUGAGAACUUAUUUAAAAAGCAUGUGUACCGUCAAAUUUUUAAGAUAUUGCAACAACUUCUGAUCCAUUGCUGAGUCUAUCCUUGCUCAGGGACGAGCAAGAGGUAAGCUUGGGGGAGUUUGUUGACGGUCCUUAAGUAUCAAAUUUAACUAUCAAAUAAACAAAGAAAAGGAUCCAAAUGAAAUCAACAUCAAGACUUAGGGUUUUAUCUGACAGAAUUCCACGAGUUUUGGUGUUUGUCUAUUUCUGCAGGGGGUUAUCAGGAAAUAUGGAAGAAAGGCCCACAUGUCGGGAAUACGUAAAGAUAUUAACGUGCUGCGCAAUUAUCUUACAUCUAGAAGACUCCAGAAGCCACGAGACUGAAGCGGAGGCGAAACGGGGCCAGAGACAGGGCGCCCGCCCUGUCCUACUGGGCGCCCGCCCACCUCCUGUGGCCAAUCACGCUCAAUCUCGCGGAUUAUGCUCCACCGACCUAAAGGAUCAAGAAUAACCAUUCAAUCAAUGUCGGUUUGAUCCGACGGCCCAGGUUCACUUGAGGGGACUAUAUAACCAGACCCCCUGGCCCCUGGAGGAGGCAACCCCUUGAUGAUUAUUCAUUAUUCAUAGACAGAGCAAAAGCUAGGGUUUAGAGAUGAGAGCUCUCCUCUCUUCUCUAAACUAGAGUAGAUCUAGAUAGUAGCAAGAUGGAGAGCGAAUGAGGAUUAGAGGAGAGGCCGGCCUGUCGGUUCUUCCUCCGGUUGUACUUCGCCAUGAUCAAGCUCUAAUCAAGCUUGCUCAUGGGAUGACUCUGGUAAUCUACUUCUAAUUCAUUAUGCAAUUACUAAUCAUGUAUGUUCUGGUUCACAACUCUUUUAAGUACUUCUAAUCUAUAGGACCCUAUAGGUUAGAGUUGUAGUAUAGGUGUAAGCGUGGUGCUUAGACCUAGAUUACUUGUGGAUAUCCCCUGACUAGCUGGAUCGUGUGGUAGGCCGCAUAGGUGACUGUUACGUUGGUCCCCUGUAGUCCACCUCUCGUUAGCAGGACGGGUAGGGUUUAUCGGCCUAUAGAUAAGCAUCCUUUGUGGUGUACUUUUAUCACGUGGUUCGUCCCAGACAUAGACAUACCCCUUUGAAGUAGAGAAACCAUAGUUAUCCUCUCUAUUCUGCUACCAUCGCCCAUAUACUAGAAUUGCUCUACUCUCUAUUCCCAUAUUAUCACUCACUGUUAUCUUACCUUUAAUAUUGUUCUUAUUCGAUUCUACUAUCUUUCCUAUUCACACCUAUUUACUUAUCUUGGUUAAGUUAGAGCGUAGAUCAGUUCUCCCGUUUCCCUG
rnacentral:lncRNA from 1 species